rnacentral:rRNA from 1 species
CCUACGGGUGGCAGCAGUGAGGAAUAUUGGUCAAUGGACGAGAGUCUGAACCAGCCAAGUAGCGUGAAGGAUGACUGCCCUAUGGGUUGUAAACUUCUUUUAUAUGGGAAUAAAACGUUCCACGUGUGGGAUUUUGUAUGUACCAUAUGAAUAAGGAUCGGCUAACUCCGUGCCAGCAGCCGCGGUAAUACGGAGGAUCCGAGCGUUAUCCGGAUUUAUUGGGUUUAAAGGGAGCGUAGGUGGAUUGUUAAGUCAGUUGUGAAAGUUUGCGGCUCAACCGUAAAAUUGCAGUUGAAACUGGCAGUCUUGAGUACAGUAGAGGUGGGCGGAAUUCGUGGUGUAGCGGUGAAAUGCUUAGAUAUCACGAUGAACUCCGAUUGCGAAGGCAGUUCACUGGACUGCAACUGACACUGAGGCUCGAAAGUGUGGGUAUCAAACAGGAUUAGAUACCCUAGUAGUC